rnacentral:rRNA from 1 species
UAGGGAAUCUUCGGCAAUGGACGGAAGUCUGACCGAGCAACGCCGCGCGUGUGAAGAAGGUUUUCUGAUCGUAAAGCUCUGUUGUUUGAGAAGAACGUUGGUAGGAGUGGAAAAUCUACCAAGUGACGGUAACUAACCAGAAAGGGACGGCUAACUACGUGCCAGCAGCCGCGGUAAUACGUAGGUCCCGAGCGUUGUCCGGAUUUAUUGGGCGUAAAGCGAGCGCAGGCGGUUCUUUACGUCUGAAGUUAAAGGCAGUGGCUUAACCAUUGUACGCUUUGGAAACUGGAGGACUUGAGUGCAGAAGGGGAGAGUGGAAUUCCAUGUGUAGCGGUGAAAUGCGUAGAUAUAUGGAGGAACACCGGUGGCGAAAGCGGCUCUCUGGUCUGUAACUGACGCUGAGGCUCGAAAACGUGGGGAGCAAACAGG